GAUGAACGCUGGCGGCGUGCCUAAUACAUGCAAGUCGAGCGAACAGACGAGGAGCUUGCUCCUCUGACGUUAGCGGCGGACGGGUGAGUAACACGUGGAUAACCUACCUAUAAGACUGGGAUAACUUCGGGAAACCGGAGCUAAUACCGGAUAAUAUAUUGAACCGCAUGGUUCAAUAGUGAAAGACGGUUUUGCUGUCACUUAUAGAUGGAUCCGCGCCGCAUUAGCUAGUUGGUAAGGUAACGGCUUACCAAGGCAACGAUGCGUAGCCGACCUGAGAGGGUGAUCGGCCACACUGGAUCUGAGACACGGUCCAGACUCCUACGGGAGGCAGCAGUAGGGAAUCUUCCGCAAUGGGCGAAAGCCUGACGGUGCAACGCCGCGUGAGUGAUGAAGGUCUUCGGAUCGGAGAACGCUGUUAGUAGGGAAGAACAAAUGUGUAAGUAACUAUGCACGUCUUGACGGUACCUAAUCAGAAAGCCACGGCUAACUACGUG
rnacentral:rRNA from 1 species